GUUGCCAGAUAAAAUACAGGAUGCUUAGUUACAUUUGAAUUUCAGAUUAACAACAAAUAUUUUUUAGCAUGAGUAUGUCCAGUAUUUGAGACAUACUUAUACCAAACAAAGUACUUGUUAUUGAUCUGAAAUUCAAAUGUAACUGGAUGUCUUGCAUUUUUAUUUGCUAAAUCUGGCCACCCUACACUGGAGGUCCUUACAGCAGACAUCUGAGAGAGAAAUCCCAGCUGGGGGCUUGCUUUCCGCAAUCAGGCACUUUUUCAAGUUGGUCCUGAACGGUUCUGGACUGGAUGGCAGGCUGCUGUGUGUGAUUGAGAAUGUUGCCUGUCUGAGCCCUGAGAUGACAAUGUCUAACAUAUUGCAAAGGAAAGAUCUAGCAUUCAUUGGAUGGCUUUAAUAGUAAAGUGGACACAGCAGAGACAGGAAAAGUGAGCUUGAAUUCCUCAAAGCAAGUCAUUACAUUUCCAGACUGAAGCACACAGAAAAAAAAAUAAGAAUGGGACAAUAGCAGAAGAGAUUAUAAGGGAGAUGUUGGACCCAGUCACAGGGUUAGCAUUUAUAACUUUGGGAUCCCAGGAGGGUAGGAGAGAGAUGUGACAGGUGCAACGUUUGGAAAAACCUGAUGUACAGGAAUUCCUCGUUUUAUUGUGCUUUCCUUAUUGAACUUUCCAGAUAUUACAUGUUUUACAAAUAAUUGAAGGUUUGUGGCAACCCUGGGUCGAGCAUGUCUAUUGGCCCUCAGCAACCACCACCCUGAUCAGUCAGCAGCCAUCAGCAUUGAGGCAAGACCAUCCACCAGCAAAAAGAUUACAACUCACUGAAGGCUCAGAUGAUUGUUAGCAUUUUUGAUAUGCACUGGGAAAGUAAAAAAUUAGCAUGACUCUCUUUAUUGUGCCCUUAACUUUAUUGCAGUGGCCUGGAACUGAACCUGCAAUAUCUUUGAGGUAAUGCUGGUGUUUAUAAUGUAACAUAGAAACUCUGAAUUAUGUUACAUUCAUUUAAAUAGG
rnacentral:lncRNA from 1 species